rnacentral:lncRNA from 1 species
CCAAUCUCAUCAUCCUUCUCUCUGGCUGCCACUUGCAGCUCCUGUAUGUUCUGCUGAAGCUUUUGUGCUGCUUCAGUAGCUUUUGCUGCCUCCACUUCUUUUAACUUGUUUAUCUCUGCUCGUAAGUCUCUUGCGAUGUCCUCGUGAGCAGAAUUGUUUUGUAUGCUCUACAUGACUUGCAGCUUCCUUCAGUUACAUCUACAGUGUUGAGAACAGCCAUGCACGCAAAACAUGAUUACAUGCACAAGCUAGAUUGAAUACUUUUGAUCUACAGAAAUAAUGUUUCUGUAAAUACCUCUGGUCCUGCAAAGAAAAGAGCUACACAUGUAAUGGAAUCCUCC